GAUCCUGGCCAGGACGAACGCUGGCGGCGUGCUUAACACAUGCAAGUCGAACGAGAAUCUGCGGAAAGAGGAUUCGUCCAAUUGAAGCAGAGGACAGUGGCGGACGGGUGAGUAACGCGUGAGGAACCUGCCUUUCAGAGGGGGACAACAGUUGGGAACGACUGCUAAUACCGCAUGACAUAUAGAUGUCGCAUGGCAUUUAUAUCAAAGAUUUAUCG
rnacentral:rRNA from 1 species